GACAGAGGGUGCAAACGUUGUUCGGAAUUACUGGGCGUAAAGCGCAUGUAGGCGGCAACGCAAGUCGGGCGUGAAAUCCCACGGCUCAACCGUGGAAGUGCACUCGAAACUGCGUAGCUAGAGUCCUGGAGAGGAAGGUGGAAUGCUUGGUGUAGAGGUGAAAUUCGUAGAUAUCAAGCGGAACACCGGUGGCGAAGGCGGCCAUCUGGCUCGGUACUGACGCUCAGGCGCAAAAGCGUGGGGAGCAAACAGG
rnacentral:rRNA from 1 species